CAGUAGGGAGGAAGGUAGUGUAGUUAACACCUGCAUUAUUUGACGUUACCUACAGAAGAAGCACCGGCUAACUCCGUGCCAGCAGCCGCGGUAAUACGGAGGGUGCGAGCGUUAAUCGGAAUUACUGGGCGUAAAGCGCAUGCAGGCGGCCUGUUAAGUCAGAUGUGAAAGGACCCGGGGCGUUAACCUACGGAAUUGCAUUUAGUAAACUGGCGAGGCUAGAGUCUUGUAGAGGGGGGUAGGAAUUUCAGGUGUAGCGGUGAAAUGCGUAGAGAUCUGAAGGAAUACCAGUGGCGAAGGCGGCCCCCUGGACAAAGACUGACGCUCAGAUGCGAAAGCGUGGGGAGCAAACAGGAUUAGAUACCCUGGUAG
rnacentral:rRNA from 1 species